GACGAACUGUCCUAACGUUGUUCGGAAUCACUGGGCUUAAAGGGCGCGUAGGCGGUCGAUCAAGUCAGGGGUGAAAUCCUGCAGCUUAACUGCAGAAGUGCCUUUGAUACUGGUCGUCUGGAGGGAGGUAGGGGUGUGUGGAACUCACAGUGGAGCGGUGAAAUGCGUUGAUAUUGUGAGGAACGCCGGAGGCGAAAGCGACGCACUGGACCUCUUCUGACGCUGAGGCGCGAAAGCUAGGGGAGCAAACGGG
rnacentral:rRNA from 1 species